rnacentral:rRNA from 1 species
UACGAAGGGGGCUAGCGUUGCUCGGAAUCACUGGGCGUAAAGCGCACGUAGGCGGAUUGUUAAGUCAGGGGUGAAAUCCUGGAGCUCAACUCCAGAACUGCCUUUGAUACUGGUAGUCUCGAGUCCGGAAGAGGUGAGUGGAAUUCCGAGUGUAGAGGUGAAAUUCGUAGAUAUUCGGAGGAACACCAGUGGCGAAGGCGG